rnacentral:lncRNA from 1 species
AUUUCAGGCUCUGCUGUGUCAAGUCGGGGAGCGGCUCUUUGCUCAGCUUAGAGAACUGGAAGAGGCCGCAACCUUCUGCCUGCUGGAGGCUGGAGGAUGGAUGGAGCCUGGAGCCUGGGACACUACCUUGCUGUGGUUGGUGGUGGCGACAGAGCAGUAAGAGGGUGGCCGGCAGCAGGAGCUUGUCCUGCUGGGCUGGAGGACUAGGAGAAGGAAGAGGCACCACCACAUGCUGGAGGCUGAAGCCUGGAGUCUGUGCCACCAUGGCUCGCCUCGCUGUGGUUGGUGGUGACGCUGGAGACUGCAGCUGGGCCACAGUGGUAGAAAUGUGAUGGGGUAGGUUUUUGGGGAACAGGUGGCGUUUGAUUGUAAGAGUAAGUUCCUUAGAGGUUGAAUAAUUUUGAUGGGCAGAAGUGUUCUAAAGUAUGCUUUUAUAAACCUCAUAUCACAGUAAUCCAUUGUUGAAACAUGGCUUAAUGCAUGUUUUAGGAUGGGUGAAGGAAGGAGAGAAGGGAAAAAGAAAAGAUGAAGAAAGGAAGAAAAAAAGAAAAAAGAAGGUGAAGGAAAGAGAGAGGAAGAAAGAAAAUGAAAAUAUGAGCAUGUUAUGAAGAAAACUGAAAAUAUGUAAUUAUUUUUUCUUAAUUUUAGCAGGUGUAGAAACUCUUAAGGCUGAUGAUGAGAUAGCUAUUUUUGCCAUAAAUUACAUGAAUUAUAUUCAUUUUUACAUUCUUAUAAUACAGCAUUAGAAUAUGUUGUGUUAUACGUAGACUCCUUAGAAGAUACACAUAAAUAAAAGAAAAAAAUUAAAAGCUGCUUUCAACUUACUAUCAUUCAUGUCCAUCUCUGUGUGCAUGUAUUACACACACACACACAUCCCCACAGUAAGAACCCACUAAAUAUUGUUAAGUUCUGGGAAAAUAUGACCUUAAGUGAAAUGACGUACAAUAGGUCCUUGAAUAACAUAGUCAUUUAGAUAUAAUUAUAAUAUGGAAAAAAUGGAUUUUGUUAUGCAUCGUUUUGAUUAAAGUCACAGUUUCCAAGAACCUAUUGAUGACAUUGAGGAGUUUAUACACACACAAACAUACACAAACAUGCACACACAUACAACACACACACACACAAAUGUAGUUAUACACAAUAUACUGACUGCCUUAUAAGAAUUUUUUUUCUAUCUUGUAAUAAUACAUGAGUACCACAUUUUUCAAUGCAUUUAAUCAUGC